CCUACGGGAGGCAGCAGUAGGGAAUAUUGCUCAAUGGGCGAAAGCCUGAACCAGCCAUGUCGCGUGCAGGAAGAAAGCCUUAUGGGUUGUAAACUGCUUUUCUACAGGAAGAAAAAANUUAUUGCGAAGNAUAAUGACGGUACUGUAGGAAUAAGCACCGGCUAACUCCGUGCCAGCAGCCGCGGUAAUACGGAGGGUGCAAGCGUUGUCCGGAUUUAUUGGGUUUAAAGGGUACGUAGGCGGAUUCUUAAGCCCGUGGUGAAAUACUUCCGCUUAACGGGAGAACUGCCAUGGAUACUAGGAAUCUUGAAUUAAGUUGAGGUAGGCGGAAUUUAUGGUGUAGCGGUGAAAUGCUUAGAUACCAGGAGGAACACCAAUUGCGAAGGCAGCUUACUGGCCUGUAACUGACACUGAUGCACGAAAGCGUGGGG
rnacentral:rRNA from 1 species